rnacentral:lncRNA from 1 species
AAUUGAUCAGUAAUGAUCCAGGAGAUCUAUUAGGAGGAUUUAACAGGGACCCAAUGAAUUUUCAAUGUGCAACCAAAAUUAGAACUCAGGCUCUUGGUUUAAAUAUAGUGCAUGUAUGUGUUUGCUUUAAGGGAGCAGCUGUGGAAAGACAGAAGAUGAAAGCUCCCAUUCCAAAUUUGAUUCUCUUGUAUGCUACUCUAACUCAGAGCUUGAAGGUUGUGACCAAAAGAGGAUCAGGAAGCUCUCAGGUGUACAGAUGAAAAGUAGACAAUUGUGUUGAAGCAAUCUGCAAAUUCAUUUGAAGUAGCCCACUUCCACAAAUGACUUUUUCAUUCUUGGCAAAAAAAGGAAUGAUUUUUCCUGUCUUAAAUCAUUUGUAAUUCUAUUUGAAAUAUUUCCAACUGAUAAUUCCAGUUUUAAUUACAGAGUCACUUAGGUUGGAAGAGACUUAAGAUUAUAUAGUCCAACCCUGCUGGUUCAAGCAACGUCAGCUACAGCUUGCUCAGGAUUCAGUUCAGUUGACUUCAGGAUUGCUCUUUAAGGACUUUUUUUUUUUUUUUUUUUAAGUCCUCUGGACCUUCAAUUUGCCAGAUUAGAACAGGCCUAAAACUAUCUCUCAGGUAAUGAGUGCGUUGCCUCAUUUGUCUCCUAAUCAUGAUGUGUUCACAAUCAUACUUCUGAGUUGCUAUAUGGAGUUGCAGCAUACACCUAGAGACGGUAGUUAGGUUUCAAAAUUUGACUUACCUGGAAGUAAUGUUAAUUAAGUUUGCUUGGCACCUGUUCAAGAUUUUCCAUUUCUUUCACAGUAAGAUUACUUAUUUUCUUUGCAAUUACAAAUGUAUUUGAACUAUAUUUAAACUUAAGCUAAAAAUGGAGUCCUGUUAAAGUACAUGGAAAAAUGAAUGUACAUUUUAUGUUUUACCAUUCUCUUGUCACCUCACUUUUAACCAUAGUUAAUACCCUUGGUAAUGUGAGAAUCAUUGUAGUCUCUUAUAGGAAAAAAAAUCCUAAUGCUAAGCAUGCUACUUUCAUGCACGUUUAUAUACUUCACUAUGAUCUUUUCUUUAAUGAUGUUUGUGGCAGUAGGUAGAAUAAAG